GACGAACGCUGGCGGCGUGCUUAACACAUGCAAGUCGAACGAUAAGGCCCUUCGGGGUACACGAGUGGCGAACGGGUGAGUAACACGUGGGUGAUCUGCCCUGCACUUCGGGAUAAGCCUGGGAAACUGGGUCUAAUACCGGAUAGGACCACUGCCUGCAUGGGUGGUGGUGGAGAGCUUUUGCGGUGUGGGAUGGGCCCGCGGCCUAUCAGCUUGUUGGUGGGGUGAUGGCCUACCAAGGCGACGACGGGUAGCCGGCCUGAGAGGGUGACCGGCCACACUGGGACUGAGAGACGGCCCAGACUCCUACGGGAGGCAGCAGUGGGGAAUAUUGCACAAUGGGCGCAAGCCUGAUGCAGCGACGCCGCGUGAGGGAUGACGGCCUUCGGGUUGUAAACCUCUUUCAGCACCGACGAAGCGCAAGUGACGGUAGGUGCAGAAGAAGGACCGGCCAACUACGUGCCAGCAGCCGCCGUAA
rnacentral:rRNA from 1 species